AGAGUUUGAUCCUGGCUCAGAAUCAACGCUGGCGGCGUGCCUAACACAUGCAAGUCGAACGAGAAAGUCCGCAAGGAUGAGUACAGUGGCGACCGGGUGAGUAACACGUGACUAACCUACCUCUUAGUGGGGAAUAACUCCGGGAAACCGGAGCUAAUACCGCAUAACAUCGCAAGAUCAAAGCCGAAAGGCGCUGGGAGAGGGGGUCGCGGCUGAUUAGCUAGUUGGUAGGGUAACGGCCUACCAAGGCGAAGAUCGGUAUCCGGCCUGAGAGGGCGCACGGACACACUGGAACUGAAACACGGUCCAGACUCCUACGGGAGGCAGCAGUGGGGAAUUUUGCGCAAUGGGGGAAACCCUGACGCAGCAACGCCGCGUGGAGGAUGAAGUCCCUUGGGAUGUAAACUCCUUUCGACCCGGACGAUACUGACGGUACGGGUGGAAGAAGCACCGGCUAACUCUGUGCCAGCCGCCGCGGUAAUAC
rnacentral:rRNA from 1 species